rnacentral:lncRNA from 1 species
AUCUUCUGGGGGGGAAGCUGGCAGCUGUUAAUUUUCACCUAUGACUUAAUUUACGAUUUAAGUAGCAGUGUUGGUCUGUGUUUGGCCUGAGCUGUGGGAGAUGAUGCUGGAAUAAUAUGAUGCUGUUCUUUCUGUAGCUCUACCUGGAGUUGUACCUUCUCAUUUGCACUACUUGCAGUAUUCGUGGAUGUUGGACUGGUGGUGACAUUGAACUUAAAGCAGGAAGAUGGCUAAUGGAAGUGGUUAUGAAAGUGGAAGUGACAGCAUCUGAAGUGGAAGGGAAAACUGAAGACUUAAAGUGCUGAAAAUCAUGUGGGUGAGAAGACUGGUAAUUUCCCUUUCACAGUGCUAUGAAAACUGACGCAUUCUGCUUGAUUAUGGAGACUUAAUAUCUGUAAUUUGAUACUUGCUCUAUGUGAGGAUAAAAAUCAGGGCAUAGAUUUAAAGAAUAUUACUUAGAAAUUGGCUAGUCUUCGGUAACGAGAGAAGCUGUAGAACACGGUUGAAAGUACUGCAAAUAGAAAAUGGAUCCUAAUGUGAACUAGGCUUGCUAGUGAUAUCUAAUAUUAUAUUGAUAGUUAGCUGGGUUUGGGGUUAAAGGUGUUGGAGAUGAGCUUGGGUAUGAAUAGAUUAUAUGUAAACACUUGCAUUUUGGUUGAUUUUUAGAUGCCU